CUUAAACCAUUAUUUCCCAUUCAUCAUUAAAUCAAAUUACACGAAUACCAUCUAAAUCAAAACGGUUAAUUAAUCAUGAACAGAUAUACUAACCUAAUAACUACUCAUAAAUAUUAAUUCAAUCACUUUGCACCCAAAGGAUCUUCAAAGAAACUAUCAACAUCCCACACCGAUGAUUCGAUAACAUCAUCCAAAUCCGACAACAAUUCCCUUGAUUCCACGCCGAUUUCAUCCCUAAAAUUAGUCUCUUCCAACAUUACCGGAUCAAACGGUAUCUGAAAAUCAAACAAAUUACAAUCGAAAUUCGACUCAUAAUUAAAAUAAUCAUUUGUAAACACCACUGCCUCAUCCGAUUCAGUCGGUCUCGGGGUCUCACACACCUCCUCUUUUUUACCACAACAAAAAACAGAGUCCUCUGUUUUAUUAAACCGUAAAACAGAGUCCUCUAUUUUAUUAAACCGUAAAACAGAAUCCUCUGUUUUACCAUAACAAAAAACAGAGUCCUCUGUUUUAUUGAACCGUAAAACAGAGUCCUCUGUUUUAGCACAACAAAAAACAGGGUCCUCUGUUUUACCAAACCGUAAAACAGAGGUCGGUGACGACAACUCCUUCCCAAGAUCCUGCAACUCCUUCCCGGGACACUGAUCAGUCACCGCAACCACCACCGGAGUAAUCACCGACGCCACUGUCUCAGGCGGCGGUUGCAAAAAGUUCGUCUGAGCUUUCGACCCGCGUAAUUCAAUCGCUCUCCGAUCGUAAACCAACGCGGCUUCCUCCGCGGUAUCAUACGUUCCCAACCACACCCUAACCCCCCGCCGCGGAUCACGAAUCUCCGCCGCCCACCGCCCCCACUGCCGCCGCCUCACCCCCCUAAACUUCCGGUCACCUACCACCGGUUCAAUUUUCCGGCGACUCUGUUUUUUCUUCUCACUACAACAUUUUGGUUCCAGAUGAAUCACACUUACAUACUUUUUAACUUUCCGGUGACCCGUGUAAUAAUCUUCAUCACUUGAAGAAUCGGUUGCAUCACGAUCAGUGACGGAAAUGGUUACCAUUUUGGAUAAAUUGUUAUCUGAUUGCUGUUUUGUGAUGAUGGUACGGUUAACUCUGUAUUUAGAAGAAGGGUUUAAGAAAUCUGGCUCCAUUUUUACAUGUGUAUAAAUGGAAUUGAAGAAGGGUUUAAAGAAUAGGAUUAUAAAUCGCCUGAAAAGAAGGCAAAACGGUGGUGAGAGUGAUUGUGGAGAAGUUCAAUAUGUUUGAGGUUUGAAUGAGAGUAAAUAGCAGGAGAAAUGUGUUAAGCUCUUGUGGUGGCACAACGGCCGUCAAGUGGCAGUCGGUGAUACGGUUUUUGCGGGGGAAUGCAUAA
rnacentral:lncRNA from 1 species